UCCCUCUUAGCUCAGUGGUAGAGCGUGUCACUCGUAUGCUAUCGUACUUUGAAGGGAUGACAAGGUCAGUCGUUCAAUCCGGCUAGCGGGAA